UGCCAGCAGCCGCGGUAAUACGUAGGUGGCAAGCGUUGUCCGGAAUUAUUGGGCGUAAAGCGCGCGCAGGCGGAUUGGUCAGUCUGUCUUAAAAGUUCGGGGCUUAACCCCGUGAUGGGAUGGAAACUGCCAAUCUAGAGUAUCGGAGAGGAAAGUGGAAUUCCUAGUGUAGCGGUGAAAUGCGUAGAUAUUAGGAAGAACACCAGUGGCGAAGGCGACUUUCUGGACGAAAACUGACGCUGAGGCGCGAAAGCCAGGGGAGCGAACGGGAUUAGAUACCCCGGUAGUCCUGGCCGUAAACGAUGGGUACUAGGUGUAGGAGGUAUCGACCCCUUCUGUGCCGGAGUUAACGCAAUAAGUACCCCGCCUGGGGAGUACGACCGCAAGGUUGAAACUCAAAGGAAUUGACGGGGGCCCGCACAAGCGGUGGAGUAUGUGGUUUAAUUCGACGCAACGCGAAGAACCUUACCAGGUCUUGACAU
rnacentral:rRNA from 1 species